GCUGUGAGGUGAAUAGACUGUCACAGAAUAAGAGAGAAAUGUGCACUAAAACAGAUUUAGACAGAUUUGUGGACAUUGUUCAAGCCCACCUUCAAGACUUCACGUGGGAGGAGGCCCAAGUUCAAGCCAGGCGCUAACGUUAACCCGCCUUACUCUCUCUGUCAACGAAGUGGCACAUCAAGAAGAAGAUAGUGCAUGAUGACGGAUGAAAAUGAAAGUCUGGCAGGUUUGCUUGCCACUGCUGGCACUGUGACGAUUGCCUGAGGCUGUAACAGACACCAACUGCAGGGGCAUGACCCUCAGCAAGUGCCCCCUGCCCAGCAAGGCGGAUCGGAGCUUCUGUCAAAACAGCAGUGUGGCUGCAAACCCCAAGCUGUGAAUGUCAGUUGGCCUUGUCUGAAAAGCAACAAAUGGCAGCUGAAGGUCGACUUCGAAAGGCUACUCAAAUUCACAGAAAGCAUCCACAGCCUUGUGUAAUCCAGGGCCAACAGAAAACCCAGAUCAACAGGCGGGCCCUGUUGGCGGGCUUCCCCCUAAUCUGCUUCAUCUUCCCAUGCGAACAACUAAUCCUUUUAUUUGUACUGUUGUGAAACAGAGACGGGAUCAUGCAGCUUCCUGUCAGCUACUUCGAUCACUUUCCAUGUUGACUGUCUUGUCUUGUAUAGAUUUGAGCAGCAAAUGUAUUCAAAUAGACAUUGCAUUUUAAUUAUUACAGCAAUAUUUUUUCUUGCUCGCCAGAAAUACAAAUUACUGUUUCACCCAUAGACUUCAAUAGAUGACCAAUCCAUUUGGAGUGGAAGAGUUGGAAGAAAAUAUUUGAAAUCACUCCAGUUUUCUUUGUGACUGAGAAAGACUGGCACACAACUAUGACUCUACUUUCUUGAACUUUGCUCCACUCUCCCAAAUUUUGACAAAAAUAAUUUGGAACUUUUAUCUAAUUGGAAUGUAUGACUCGUUUCAUUGAUUCUUGCACAUUGAGUAUACUUUUUACGCGUAGCUUUGAUUUACAUACUAGUAUAUUCUAUUGCUGCUAAAUACGGUACUGUAAUUAAUAACAAUCAAUGCAUACACUACAACAAGAUUUUUUUUUCAACUUGC